rnacentral:rRNA from 1 species
UUUGCGUCGAAGGUAUACCGGUAAGGAGUGCUGGAGCGAAUAGAAGUGAGCAUGCAGGCAUGAGUAGCGAUAAUUAAUGUGAGAAUCAUUAACGCCGUAAACCCAAGGUUUCCUACGCGAUGCUCGUCAUCGUAGGGUUAGUCGGGUCCUAAGUCGAGUCCGAAAGGGGUAGACGAUGGCAAAUUGGUUAAUAUUCCAAUACCAACAUUAGUGUGCGAUGGAAGGACGCUUAGGGCUAAGGGGGCUAGCGGAUGGAAGUGCUAGUCUAAGGUCGUAGGAGGUUGUACAGGCAAAUCCGUAUAACAAUACUCCGAGAACUGAAAGGCUUUUUGAAGUCUUCGGAUGGAUAGAAGAACCCCUGAUGCCGUCGAGCCAAGAAAAGUUUCUAAGUUUAGCUAAUGUUGCCCGUACCGUAAACCGACACAGGUGGGUGGGAUGAGUAUUCUAAGGCGCGUGGAAGAACUCUCUUUAAGGAACUCUGCAAAAUAGCACCGUAUCUUCGGUAUAAGGUGUGGUUAGCCUUGUAUUAGGAUUUACUCCGAAAGCAAGGAAACUUACAACAAAGAGUCCCUCCCGACUGUUUACCAAAAACACAGCACUCUGCUAACUCGUAAGAGGAUGUAUAGGGUGUGACGCCUGCCCGGUGCUCGAAGGUUAAUUGAUGGGGUUAGCAUUAGCGAAGCUCUUGAUCGAAGCCCGAGUAAACGGCGGCCGUAACUAUAACGGUCCUAAGGUAGCGAAAUUCCUUGUCGGUUAAAUACCGACCUGCAUGAAUGGCGUAACGAGAUGGGAGCUGUCUCAAAGAGGGAUCCAGUGAAAUUGUAGUGGAGGUGAAAAUUCCUCCUACCCGCGGCAAGACGGAAAGACCCCGUGGACCUUUACUACAGCUUGACACUGCUACUUGGAUAAGAAUGUGCAGGAUAGGUGGGAGGCUUUGAGUAUAUGACGCCAGUUGUAUAUGAGCCAUUGUUGAGAUACCACUCUUUCUUAUUUGGGUAGCUAACCAGCUUGAGUUAUCCUCAAGUGGGACAAUGUCUGGUGGGUAGUUUGACUGGGGCGGUCGCCUCCCAAAUAAUAACGGAGGCUUACAAAGGUUGGCUCAGAACGGUUGGAAAUCGUUCGUAGAGUAUAAAGGUAUAAGCCAGCUUAACUGCAAGACAUACAAGUCAAGCAGAGACGAAAGUCGGUCUUAGUGAUCCGGUGGUUCUGUGUGGAAGGGCCAUCGCUCAAAGGAUAAAAGGUACCCCGGGGAUAACAGGCUGAUCUCCCCCAAGAGCUCACAUCGACGGGGAGGUUUGGCACCUCGAUGUCGGCUCAUCGCAUCCUGGGGCUGGAGCAGGUCCCAAGGGUAUGGCUGUUCGCCAUUUAAAGCGGUACGCGAGCUGGGUUCAGAACGUCGUGAGACAGUUCGGUCCCUAUCUGCCGUGGGCGUAAGAAGAUUGAAGAGAUUUGACCCUAGUACGAGAGGACCGGGUUGAACAAACCACUGGUGUAGCUGUUGUUCUGCCAAGAGCAUCGCAGCGUAGCUAAGUUUGGAAAGGAUAAACGCUGAAAGCAUCUAAGCGUGAAGCCAACUCUAAGAUGAAUCUUCUCUAAGCUCUCUAGAAGACUACUAGUUUGAUAGGCUGGGUGUGUAAUGGAUGAAAGUCCUUUAGCUGACCAGUACUAAUAGAGCGUUUGGCUUAUCUUUAAUAAAGCAU